GUGGGGAAUAUUGGACAAUGGGCGCAAGCCUGAUCCAGCCAUACCGCGUGGGUGAAGAAGGCCUUCGGGUUGUAAAGCCCUUUUGUUGGGAAAGAAAUCCUGUCGGUUAAUACCUGGCGGGGAUGACGGUACCCAAAGAAUAAGCACCGGCUAACUUCGUGCCAGCAGCCGCGGUAAUACGAAGGGUGCAAGCGUUACUCGGAAUUACUGGGCGUAAAGCGUGCGUAGGUGGUGGUUUAAGUCCGUUGUGAAAGCCCUGGGCUCAACCUGGGAAUUGCAGUUGAUACUGGAUCACUAGAGUGUGGUAGAGGGAUGCGGAAUUUCUGGUGUAGCAGUGAAAUGCGUAGAGAUCAGAAGGAACAUCCGUGGCGAAGGCGGCAUCCUGGGCCAACACUGACACUGAGGCACGAAAGCGUGGGGAGCAAACAGGAUUAGAUACCCUGGUAGUCC
rnacentral:rRNA from 1 species